GUGCUCGCUUUGUCAGCACAUAUACUAAAAGUUGGAACGAUACAGAGAAGAUUAGCAUGGCCUCUGUGCAAGGAUGACACGCAAAUUCGUGAAGCGUUUCAUAUCUUU
ensembl:snRNA U6 U6 spliceosomal RNA